GGAUCCUACGGGAGGCAGCAGUGAGGAAUAUUGGUCAAUGGGCGGGAGCCUGAACCAGCCAAGCCGCGUGAGGGAAGAAGUAUUUCGGUAUGUAAAGCUCUAUCAGCAGGGAAGAAAAUGACGGUACCUGAGUAAGAAGCCCCGGCUAACUACGUGCCAGCAGCCGCGGUAAUACGUAGGGGGCAAGCGUUAUCCGGAUUUACUGGGUGUAAAGGGAGCGUAGACGGCGAUGCAAGUCUGAAGUGAAAGCCCGGGGCUCAACCCCGGGACUGCUUUGGAAACUGUAUGGCUGGAGUGCUGGAGAG
rnacentral:rRNA from 1 species